rnacentral:tRNA from 1 species
GGGGGCGUAGCUCAGUUGGUAGAGCGUUCGCUUUGCAUGUGAUAGGUCCCGGGUUCAAGCCCCGGCGCCUCCA